CAGUAGCCACGGUAAUACGAAGGGGGCUAGCGUUGCUCGGAAUUACUGGGCGUAAAGGGCGCGUAGGCGGCCAUUCAAGUCAGAGGUGAAAUCCCAGGGCUCAACCUUGGAACUGCCUUUGAAACUCCCGGUCUUGAGGUCGAGAGAGGUGAGUGGAAUUCCGAGUGUAGAGGUGAAAUUCGUAGAUAUUGGGAAGAACACCGGUGGCGAAGGCGGCGACCUGGUCCUUUACUGACGCUGAGGCGCGAAAGCGUGGGGAGCAAACAGGAUUAGAGACCCCUAGUCCCUGUCUCUUAUACAA
rnacentral:rRNA from 1 species